rnacentral:lncRNA from 1 species
GAAGAUAAAAAGGUGUAUUGGAAAUUGUAAAGAUGAUGUAAGCAAAUAAAAUUGGGGAAAUAUGAAGCAAUCCAAACAAACGUUUAAUGCUAGUCCGUCUAUUGCCUAAUAAUUAACUAAAAUAACGACUAAAUAUAACUAAAUCAUAAGCUGGAAAAUUCGGCUUUCAUUUCUCUUGUUUAUUCGUGACUUGAACUAGGUUAACUAAAGAUGAACUCCCUUCAUUAAUCUCUAUGAUCAUGCUCGGCAUUCCAAUCGAGUCUUGAACAGCUCGAACUAUCGCUUGGACGACUCUUGAAGUUUCUUGGCACGAGCGUGCGUCAUUGGAUCCACUGGAAUGUUCAUGGAAUCGACUUGAGCACGUUGAGCAUCUUGGACAGCUUGCGCGGCUUCAUCAUAACCCAUUUUUGCUUUGUAUAAAUUUUGCAUGAAGCAAUAAACAAAAUGAGAUGCAAUUAACGAAAAAUGGUGCCAAGCUCAAUACACUUUAUUGUUAUUAUUAUUAUUUUCUUUUUGUGUUAGUUUUUUGGACUAACAUUCAUGUAAACAUACCUACUACCUAGCAGAUUGCCAUAUUGACACGAAACAAAGGAUUCCUUUCUAGAAAAGAAGAAGAAAAGCAUUGGCAUAAGAAACAAAAUCCUGUGGUUUGGUAUAGUUGCAGACUGUAAAACGGUUUUAGCCUGUGGUUUAAAUCACGGAUAUAGUUGCAGAGCAUAAAAUGAAUUAGUUGCAUACCAUAAAACGAUAUUAUACCUGAAAGGGUUCGACUCGACUCGAACAUGAUUAGUAAAAGAAUGUGGAAUCCUGUUGUUUAGAAGAAAAAAAACAUAAAAUCUAUCAAAUAUAUGAUCGUCACAAGUAUCAUUUUUGGGCAUUCCUGAUUUUAGGCAUUGUUUGAUAAUCCAAUUUAGCACUUAAAUUUAAAAAAUUUAGCAAAAAAUUGAAUAUUUGAAUUAAUUAAAUGGCAAUGAAUUUUUAACCAAAACUUGCUUCAAAAAUUUAAAUUUAUCACUUAUUGUGAUAUAUACUCAAGUGUAUUAAAUUUAAUACUUAACAAUUCAAUAAUUUAAUGGAUUCAAAUUUCAGAUUUCAGAUUCAUGCCUUGUUUGAUAACCCAAAUCAGUAUUUAAACUUAAUGGAUUUCGAUUUUAACAUGUUCAGGCGUGUUUGACAACAAAAAAUUGAACAUCCGAAUUAAUUAAGUGACACUAAAUUUUUUAGACAAAACAUGCGCAUAAAAAUAGGUGAUAAACUAUCCACUUAUCAGGUAAUGUGAUAUACACUAAAAUGUAUCAGAUUUAGUAUUUUACAAUUCAAUAACUUAAUGGAUUUAUAUUUCAGUGACACUGAAUUUUUUAGGUAAAACUUGCUGCUAAAAAUAAGUGAUAAAUUAUUUACUUAUCAGUUAAUGUGAUAUACACUUAAAGGUAUGAGAUUUAAUAUUUAACAAUUCAAUAACUUAAUGGAUUCAUAUUUUAAAUUUCAAAUUUUAAAUUAUAGUUUUCAGAUUUCAAUUUUAUUAAAUGAACUGUCACACUUCAAUUUUUAAAUUUCAAUUUUAUCCGACGCAUCUUACUUUAGCUUCAUAUUCACCUGCCAUGUUGUAUUUAUCGUGUUUUAGGCUUAGAAACACUGCACCAAGAAAUAGAACAAGAAGAAAUAAAGAAAAUUAUGCUAGUACUCACAAAAAAUGUACAUGCCAUUCCGUUCUUGACUCAACCCUCGUGCUAUUUUGUAUUUGUCUUGGUUUAGGCUUAGAAAAACUGCACCCAGGAAUAGAACAACAAGAAAUAAGGAAAAAUUAUGCUAGUACUCACAAAAAAAA